GGGGAUGUACUGGUUUCGAUCUGAUGCAGAUUGAACAUUACGCAUGCAGGGGAUGAUGGUUGGCCCCUUAAAACACCCAUCAAAACAUCAUGCCAAUAACGUGAUCACUGCGGUUGUCGGUUUCGCCAAGAACGCCUGGGCUUCGGUCAAGGCUGCCUUCGCGCUUCCUGCUCCUGCUCAGCUCGCCUUCGCCUAAUCAUGGUGAAGCCACCGCCUGAAGACUCCUGAUAUUCAGGGUCGGUGCUUUUUCAGGGUUUGCGCCCCAGGGUCCACAGUACCGGCGCUCAUACCACAGUGGAUAAAUUCCUCACUCCCUUGUUCACUCUGGGUGAGGUCUUACUUGAAUGAACUAAGCAUGUAGCGUUGUGUGAGACUCGUUUCAGAGACCCGGGUUCGACUCCCGGCAUCUCCACCA
rnacentral:tmRNA from 1 species